UUUGCCGUCUCUUAAUUCUACACUGAAGAUUUUAAUAUUUUUGACCUGGGAUGUCAUUUAAGAUUUUCAUUAUUUUAUUACGAUGUAAAAAUUGAACUUCUGUCUUCAAAUUGGCGAUAAGAACAAGUCGUAGUAGUGUGGUGACAAAUCCCCAGUGGACUAGUUGUCGAUCAAUCGUCUAUCUUCUAGCUUUAUACAGAUGCCUUGCGUGCUCCAUUGUUGUACAAGAAUUUUUCUACAUCAAGUAGGACCAAGUAUCCACCUUCAUGUUUUUCGAUUCAUGUCGUCUUGGAUAAAAGUUGUAGGACAUACUGGCCAAAUUUUUUAAUUUGGUGCAUUUUCCAAGUUGCGAGUAAAGAAUCUGACAUUGGAUGCCAUUGGCCUUUGAAGCAAUCGAUGCUGCCAUGUCGCAAAGCUGCUUCGAAUAGAGCAGCAACUUUCUUCAGUCCUAAUAGCAAUCGAUUCUGAAAGCAAGACCACAUGAUUUUGGAGCCUUGGAGGAGCACGUCCAGUUUCAAGAUAAGUACAUUAAUUAAAAGUAUUGAAACUGUUGUAAUGUUCAAAUCUAAUGUAUUGUAUUUGAAUUUUUGUAAUUUGAAUAUCUAAUUUAGGAGAAUCGCCAAAUUAUCAGAUGAAUGGAUAUCCGUGUGUAGGAAAUGAUUUCCUAGUAUUUGAAAUAAAAUUCUGUCUUUCUCAACAUAGAAUUAAUUCGACUAUUUUUAAAAACUUAUUUUAACUUAUUUAAAAGCGUUUUAUUACGAGGAUGAUUUCAUGGCUAAUUAUAUUUGCCCCAAUUUCUGGCAUUAACAGUUCAUUAUCAGUGCCAGAAAUAAACAAUUGGUAGAUUUUAAGGCAGAGGCCCAAGUAUGUUAAUAUUUCGAUUGCAAUGAGCAGGAGUUUAUCAUCCCAGUAUUUUCAAUUUCCAUUUAGCAUUUUGCUUCUCGCUGACAUAGAAUAAAGAUGCCUUUUUAUAACUAAAUGAUAUCCGAGAUAAUGUCAACUUAAUCCUUUUAUGUGAUGUGAUGUGUGUCGCCGUUAUGAGAAAAAUAAAGAAACGAUAAAGCAUGUAGAACACGAUGGAUACUAAACUAAUUUUUCUAUCUUAGUUUGCGGUAAUUAAAACUAUAGGAGGUAAAACUAAAAACUAUCAACGGUAAAGACCAUUUAAAAAAAUGAUUCAGACGAAAUUCCUUUCUUGAACAAAGGAAUUGCCAGUUUCAGAUUAAGAGGUAUUAAAUAAGUUUUUUAAAAGUCAACUUAGAAUUCUAAAUUUGGAUUUUCAACAAUUGUUAAUUGAGCUACGAUAUGAUUACCGCCGAUGCUUCAUUAUCUCGUCUUAUUUUCCAUGCACGAAUACAAUAUUAAAAGGAGUAAUGUAAUUCUUGGAAUUGUGUAAGCCAUUUUAAGAGUCAUUAAAUAUUUUCUAAUUUUAAUUACAUUUUCCUAAGAAUAUCGCUGAAUAUUUUCAAGAAAGUGUACAAAUAGAAAAUUCUCAAAUUUUACCAUUUUUAGCUGCAGGCAUUACAAUUGAGAUUGUAAACGUCGACUGUUCACACGUGCGGUGUCCUAUAAACUUCAACUUCCAAGUUGAAGAAUUUUCUUAUUUAAUACUAGUGAUUAAGUCAAUGACC